rnacentral:sRNA from 1 species
CCCCACAUUCCUGAGAAAUUUGAGGAGAUGGACGUCAGCCUGGAAGAAAGGGAGAAGCCGUUCCAGUGUGAGUUUGAGGGCUGCGACCGGCGCUUCGCCAACAGCAGCGACAGGAAGAAGCACAUGCACGUCCACACCUCCGAUAAGCCCUAUCUCUGCAAGAUGUGCGACAAGUCCUACACGCACCCCAGCUCUCUGCGGAAGCACAUGAAGGUCCAUGAGUCCUCCCCGCAGGGCUCUGAAUCCUCCCCGGCCGCCAGCUCCGGCUAUGAGUCGUCCACGCCCCCGGGGCUGGUGUCCCCCAGCGCCGAGCCCCAGAGCAGCUCCAACCUGUCGCCAGCGGCGGCGGCAGCAGCGGCGGCGGCUGCGGCGGCGGCGGCCGC